rnacentral:rRNA from 1 species
AUGGCCACCGAUCCACCGGACGGGGACGACCUGCCGCACAGCUGCAGCGAUGCUCUGUUCGAAUAUGCCGAACAGGUGAAGAAUUUGGGGAGCACUUUGUCCGAGCUGUUCUCUGAACCUCUUGGGCUCAAACCGAGCUACCUGGCAGAUGUGGAGCACAGGGUGGUGGCUAAGAACAUUGCUCCAAGAGUCUUGAUCAUUUGCUUCUUCAGCACACAUUUCCACCCUGCCUCGACGAGGAUGCAUGGUCCGAUCAAGGAGCUGUUGUCUGAUGGGAACCCACUGUUGUACAGGGAGACCCUUAGCUUGCCUUGGAUCAUCCCCGCUGACUCAGCUCAUGUUGUACAUCGGCUGCGCGAUGGUGUCGUUGAUGAAGCUCACGUUGUACCCGAUGCCAUAGACAUGGGGGCUGUACUUGGUUACACGGUGUCAUGGUGGGAACGUCGUCAGUUGACCCACCCAACCCACGGCGAGGGGGAGCAGAGAGAAAUGCAGAGCAGAGAAUACACUUGCAAGCUGUUCUGCUCCGGCUUCUCUGGCCUCGCCGCCAACGCGACCUGCUGGACAGCUGGCGAUCAUACUCACUACUACCCUCCCUGCCCACAGCCUGAACUCGCCAUCGGGACAAGCCGGCAUUCACACUCCUGCUUCCUGACCAUACUUCUCCAAGACGAUAUCGGUGGCCUCCGUAUCCUCCAUCAAGACUGGUGGGUAGAUGUCACGCCGACGUCUGGAGCAUUCAUCGUGAACAUCCGUAAUCUCUUACAGUUGGUCUCCCAUGACGGGAUCAGUUGCGUGGAACAUAGGGUGAUGGCAAAGAGUGCCGCUCCGAGGGUCUUGAUAGCGUGCUUCUUUUGCACACCCGGCCUCGACGAGGAUUUACAAUCCGAUCAAGGAACUGCUGCCGGACAAGAACCUGUCAUUAGAAAUAUUCAAAUGUGCUGGAGGGUGGAGGCGGCGUCAAGGAGGACAAUGAAGGACGAGUGUUCACCAAACCAAAUACUUGGUCAUGUGCCUGCAGUUCUACCAGGUGUGGAAGGAAGUGGCCUGGACCUUAGCACGUGGGCAUUACUCCCCUCCUCCCGGGACACUCCUGCGAGCGUCCGGGAGGAUAACCUAGCGCCGCCGCCUCUCCUCCCCUCCUCCUCUCCCCCUCCCACGCCGCCGCCGAGUGGCGCGAGCGGGCGAAGCCCGGUCGUCGCCGGCGGCGGUGGGGCUCCCCUCAUCUCCUCGCGCGGGGAUCACGGCGCGGGCCGUAUCUCGCGUGCCGGGUCGCGGCGCUCCAUGUCGGGUGCAGCGGCGCUCCAACGAGGGCCGACGACGGUGGCGUGGCAGCUGCGUGAUGGGCGGCAAGGCGGUGGUGUAGGUCGGCGGGUGGGUUUCAGCGCCGGUUGCCUCCCGGCAGCUCUGCCGAGCCUCCUCUGGCGCUACGGGUCAUGUGCGACCGGGUCGUGGGCGGCCUCUCUCGCCGUGGCUAUCUGGGGGGGCGGCGUGGUAGCGGUGGUGAUCUGCCAUCUCAUCCCUCUUCUUCGACAUCGGGUGGCGGUCGAUGCUCUCCGGCGGGUUCGGUCCUUCGGCUUCGGGGGCGAAACAGGUGGUUUUGAGGGGAGGGGAGGCUGGUUGGGGUAUGGGUUCGUCAUUGGCCAUUGGCCGUUCCCCCACCUCCCCCUUCCCCCGGGCGGCGUCAGGUCGCGGUUCGUCUCGAGGCAGUGCCCGCCGGCGAUUCCAGGAGGCGAUUGGGGGCGUGGAUUUUGCCAAAGUCGUGUCCUUUGGGAGCUCUCGCGGUGGUCUGGUGGCAGGGCGGUGGGAGACGCGGUGGUCGUGGGCGGACUGCGCGGCUCAGAUGCGGGCGGGCAUCUAUGGCCGCCCGGGUGGCAUAGCUGCGGGUGGUUGUCGGACCGGGGAGGCGACGGAAGGGUUGAAGCACCGGAGUACAUCACUUGCCUAGUCCGUGCAUUGGCCGACGGUGAUGGCAUCCGCGGACGUCGUGUUCCUCCCUGUAGGCUCCGUCGUGGUGCUCCCUCUCCUUCCAUCUAG